rnacentral:lncRNA from 1 species
UAUUGUAAAUCUUUAUAGAUAUUCAUUAACAAUUUUUUAUGGUAAAUGUUAUUACAAAUUCUUUUACAACUUGUUCUUCUAGAAAGAAAUACAUUCCUCAUUGAUUUUUCUAGGAUUGAAAAGAAAAUAAAUCAACUGUGCUUGCUUCUCAUUUAUUCAACAUGUUUAGUCUCCAAACAAUCCAAAGACUACUCUAUAUUGUAGAAUUGUGAGAAACAAAUUAAAGCGAAAUUAAUAAAAGUCAUUGUGAUAUUUGUCUACCAUAAAUUAGUAGUAAUAACAGUAAUUGUUUCAUAAAACAUGCAAUACUGUUUACAUAAAAGAUUAUGCAGCAGGAGCAAGCUUAUGCAUAAUCUUCUAUGCGUCAUCAAGAGACCCUUCUUUUCACAAUUACGUGUUAUUCACUGUUUACUGCAACAUAGCCUUAACAAACCAUUACCAAUCCAUUAAUGAUAUUUGAGGCAAAGCUUCACUACUCCUAUAACAUGCCUUUCAACCCUUGCCAUAAGCCCAUACAGAGCUAAUUUCUGCAAUUGAAUCAGCCCCAUGACAACGUAAAAAAGCGGCACAAAACUUUAAAAAGUCCUUUAAAUAGUAAAGUAACAUCCUGACCAACUCCCUUGCUGCAUUAUUUUACAGAUAUGAGAUGUGAUAUUUUGUCUUCAUUCCAAAAUUACUCCAAGAACACCAAGCUACCUGUAGCAGAGCGAGAAGACAAUUUCAAAAAAAAAA